rnacentral:rRNA from 1 species
AGAGUUUGAUCCUGGCUCAGGAUGAACGCUGGCGGCGUGCCUAACACAUGCAAGUCGAGCGAUUCACUUCGGUGAAGAGCGGCGGACGGGUGAGUAACGCGUGGGUAACCUGCCUCAUACACAUGGAUAACAUACCGAAAGGUAUGCUAAUACAAGAUGAUAUAAGAGAUUCGCAUGUUUCUCUUAUCAAAGCUCCGGCGGUAUGAGAUGGACCCGCGUCUGAUUAGCUAGUUGGUAAGGUAAUGGCUUACCAAGGCGACGAUCAGUAGCCGACCUGAGAGGGUGAUCGGCCACAUUGGAACUGAGACACGGUCCAAACUCCUACGGGAGGCAGCAGUGGGGAAUAUUGCACAAUGGGCGAAAGCCUGAUGCAGCAACGCCGCGUGAGUGAUGAAGGCCUUCGGGUCGUAAAACUCUGUCCUCAAGGAAGAUAAUGACGGUACUUGAGGAGGAAGCCCCGGCUAACUACGUGCCAGCAGCCGCGGUAAUACGUAGGGGGCUAGCGUUAUCCGGAUUUACUGGGCGUAAAGGGUGCGUAGGUGGUUUCUUAAGUCAGGAGUGAAAGGCUACGGCUUAACCGUAGUAAGCUCUUGAAACUGGGAAACUUGAGUGCAGGAGAGGAAAGUGGAAUUCCUAGUGUAGCGGUGAAAUGCGUAGAUAUUAGGAGGAACACCAGUAGCGAAGGCGGCUUUCUGGACUGUAACUGACACUGAGGCACGAAAGCGUGGGGAGCAAACAGGAUUAGAUACCCUGGUAGUCCACGCCGUAAACGAUGAGUACUAGGUGUCGGGGGUUACCCCCCCUCGGUGCCGCAGCUAACGCAUUAAAUCGACCGCCUGGGGAGUACGGCCGCAAGGUUAAAACUCAAAUGAAUUGACGGGGGCCCGCACAAGCGGUGGAGCAUGUGGUUUAAUUCGAUGCAACGCGAAGAACCUUACCUGGUCUUGACAUCCACAGAACUUAGCAGAGAUGCUUUGGUGCCUUCGGGAACUGUGAGACAGGUGCUGCAUGGCUGUCGUCAGCUCGUGUUGUGAAAUGUUGGGUUAAGUCCCGCAACGAGCGCAACCCUUAUCCUUUGUUGCCAGCGGUCCGGCCGGGAACUCAAAGGAGACUGCCAGUGAUAAACUGGAGGAAGGUGGGGAUGACGUCAAGUCAUCAUGGCCCUUACGACCAGGGCUACACACGUGCUACAAUGGCAUAUACAAAGAGAAGCGACCUCGCGAGAGCAAGCGGACCUCAUAAAGUAUGUCGUAGUCCGGAUUGGAGUCUGCAACUCGACUCCAUGAAGUCGGAAUCGCUAGUAAUCGUAGAUCAGAAUGCUACGGUGAAUACGUUCCCGGGCCUUGUACACACCGCCCGUCA